rnacentral:lncRNA from 1 species
ACUCACUUUCGCAGGAAUCGCGAUUGCAUUUACCGUAUGCAACAAGGCUUUAAACCCCUAGGUGGCCCUAGUGGACGAGUUUUGUCUCGUGAGGGUUUCCGGCUCAGAUACCCACAAACUGCUGUCGAAAGAAUUUAUUUUAUUAUUUUAUAAAAUCUAAUUUCAAAUGCAUAAGUGCUAAAAAUUUCAAAAGCACACAAAGUUUUAUUACUAAGUCAGCCCAAAUCCUAGGUCAAGAUGCAACUUAAGUUGAAGUUAUUAAGUUUCCGUUAGAGAGUUGUAAGGCUAAUUUAUACUUGGGUGCUCGGUGAUGUCUGGACCAUACACAAGCUAAGGCUUUAGAUUCCCCAAAAUACUGCUAAAGCUAGUAGGUCCCAAGAAUUGGUAAGAUAAGACCUAUUCACUGAUUCAAAAUCACCCUAUCUUGUAGGAUUUCGAGAGUUGUGGAUGUUUACUUUAAUACCUCAUGGGCUUUAUCUGUAAUAUUCCAGUUUACUCGAAUUUUUACAACGACGGCUUUCACACUAUCGUCUUUUUUCAAGGUCAAUAUU